CUUGUAAUUUAUCUGCAAAUGGUGCCCCCCUACCAUCUGAUUUCCGUUUUCCGGCACCGUCCGUCAUCAUUUAUCACAUGAUUACAAGUUCCAAAAGCUUUUACAACGGGAACCACUGGGCCCACUCUCAUUCUUGAAUACGGCAUGAAUCUACAUAUCUGCAAUCCCAAAAAAAAAAACACACCUUCUUUUACGACUCCUGAUUAGGAAGCAAAAUGGCAGCCAUUUCAGCUGCUCAGCUUGCUACUAUUUCACAACCGAAUCUUCAACCAUCAUCUUCUUCUACUUCACUAACCGCCUCUCUUAUCUGUUUGCGCUUCCUUCAGACCUUCGCUAGCCUUUCUCAAUUCCUCGCUGACACCAACCGCUCAUGAAGCUUACAAAGGAAACGAAAAUUCUUUCACUCUCCGUCAACUAUCAUGUUUCCGUCCACGUGCUUCUCAGGUGAGUUCCGUGCAACUGCAUAGUUUUCGGAUAUAUCUGUCAUUGAAUUUGUGCCUAGGAUGGAAGAGAUUGGAUAUGUGGUACUGAAAGAUAUACAGCGUGUGAAGGCUUGCCUGUUUUUUUUUCGCGGCGUGAUUUCAUAAUGAAUGCUCAGUAAUAAACACUCAAAAGGUCUGCUUUGCAAGCACUCAUUGUGGUGCCAACUCGAGAACUUGACAUGUUAGCAAAGUUGCUUCAAUGUUGGUAGAAAAGCCCUCAGAAACUGGCUCGGAAGAGAAAUCGUGUACUGUUAUGGCUCUUUUAGAUGGAGGGAUGUUGAGAUGACAGAAGAGUUGGCUAAAAGUGCUGCGUUCUGUUGUUUGAUUGUACUUGCAUUCCUUGUUUGUCUAAUAUUAAUUAUUGGAGACCUUGUUUGCUUAAAAAUGCCAGUUGGAUUAAAAUGAGUUUGACAAUGCAUUUCCAUGUAAUCUGAAUAUGAUGUCAAAAAGUCGUUAACUUUGUUUAUGCUUGAUAAGAAGUAAGUCAUUUCUUAGGGUCUGUGUUUCUUUUUAUCUUACUAUCGGCAUUGUGAAACACUGAAGGACAGUGCAUCUUUAUUAUGUUAGGUAUUUUGGUCAUUGCCUUCAAUGUUUCAGGCUGAGCCCCAGAAAAUAGUGGUGGCUCCAUCAGGGAGUUUAUGCCAAUUGAUUGACAAGAACAUAUUGAAGCUUGAGUCCAUGCAGGUGUUGGUUAUUGAUGAGAUUCUGCUUAAAGCAAGGGCCUACCUGUCAUCCAUCGGCAAACAAGAAAUACUAAUGUCCGCUCCACUCUGCCGAUGAUUCUGGUAAUGAGGACAUGAAUAUUAAGUACAGCUGCAUUAUUUUCUUUAAUAGUGGACUGACAAGUGAAUUGCAUGUGAUGCCAUUACCUGAACAAAGUCCAUGUAGUCCAUUCUAUACAGAUGAUCUCCAGAUAGUAUCAGGACAUCUUCAAUGUCCCUAUUUCUUGCAUCCUGUAGUAAGUGAUGAAUAUACUGUAAACCAUCGUGCAAGCUAACUUCCAGGGUUUUUCAGCUCAUCAAGUUAAGUAAAGGUGAUGACACGAUUACCUCAAAAAGCCAGUGAAACUGCCUUACAGCAUCUGCAGUGCCCUGGAACCACCGUUUUCCAGCUUCCCCAGGAGUUUGAGUGGCUGCUAGAACCUGAUUUAGAGCAACAGUCAAAUUAAAGGCCUUGACUUGAAUUCAUAAGAUCAGUAAGCUUGUUUAUGUGGGUGUGUGAGUAAUCUAAAUACAAAUCAGAUACAGUUGAUUCUUGCAUUGGUUUUCAAGAAUUCUGAAUCAUAUACAGAUUACUACCUCAACAUAACCAUCUCCAAAGUUGACCCCAUUGCCGAAGUUGUAAGCACGGGCGAGAUGCCUGUUGAGUGAUGCUGAGUUGAAUUGCGUGAGAAUGUAGACUUUGUUGAUUCCACUAUUUAUGCAGUUACUCAUUGGCACAUCAAUGAGCCUGUAUGCACCACCAAUGGGAACCUACAAGAGACAAUUUCUAAUGCAUCAUUUUUUAAGGACCAUUCAAUAUUAAGUUCAGAAAAUGGUCAUACUGAUACUUACAGCAGGCUUGGCACGACGCUUGGUGAGAGGAAAGAGACGAGUACCAGCUCCUCCUCCCAGAAUUACUGCCACAACGGUACGUGGAUCUCUCUUCUCCAUAUCUAAGUCUCUCAACUAAAUUCAUCCCAUGAAAAUUUAAUCACAAAUUAAGUGUGACAAACCAUAUAUAUUCAAAUAUGUAUUGCCUUGAAAUUGUGUGCUUUGAGAGAUGGAGAGCUGAGGUUUACCUUGGUCUCGCCUGCUACGUCUGCAGUAAGAGACAUGCAAACACGUUUCUUAA